AAGAUGCUAGUAAAAUGGCUAUUACAUUGCCUUGUCAAGGCAAAAUUGUGGGUUAAACCCCCUGCGUAUCUUG
rnacentral:tRNA from 1 species